rnacentral:rRNA from 1 species
GUGCCAGCAGCCGCGGUAAUACAGAGGGUGCGAGCGUUAGUCGGAAUUACUCCGCGUAAAGCGCAUGCAGGUGGUUUGUUAAGUCAGAUGUGAAAGCCCGGGGCUCAACCUCGGAAUUGCAUUUGAAACUGGCAGGCUAGAGUACUGUAGAGGGGGGUAGAAAUUCAGGUGUAGCGGUGAAAUGCGUAGAGAUCUGAAGGAAUACCGGUGGCGAAGGCGGCCCCCUGGACAGAUACUGACACUGAGAUGCGAAAGCGUGGGGAGCGAACAGGAUUAGAUACCCCAGUAGUCC